CUUCCCUAAGGCCUUGUCAGCUUCCCCGGGUCCCGGCGGCUACCAAGGGCAGGGGAAAAGGCAAAAGAAGGGGGGGGAGGGGAAGGGAGCCGGGGACCGGGGCUGGGGAGGGGAAGGGGGGAGCGCGCGGGACAGGGCGAGUCUCCGAGUCACCACAGCAGAAGCAGCAACCCAACACUUCCCUCCGCCACCUCCAUAGAGAGCCGGCUCGCUGCCGCGUCUAAAGCGCACCGAGGCAGCCCCACUAACUUUAUUACCCUUCACGCAACCUAGCCCACCUCUCGCCAACAACCGCCAAUCGCCGCCAAGGGCUCCGCCCGUCUUGCCAAUCACAGCCGAGAAAGGGGGUGGCCUUAAGAGCUAAGUGGGCGGAGGAGGGAGGAAGUUUGGUUGAACUGUGCAACCGCCGCAGUGCAGCAUCCGUAUUCGCGAAAGCCGUUACGCCACGGGCUUGGCGGUAGGGCCUAGGAGGGAAGGGAAAUUUGCGCAAGUGGCGUACCCGGUUAAUGGCGGCAGUGUGGCUGCCACUCUCCUUCGCUGUUUGCUCCUGUACUUCAACCAUCACAGAGCCCCAGUUCUAGAGGCCUAGCGUGUGAGUUACAGUUGAUCCUGCCACGUUCUUGGAAAGAUCUUUACAGGACAGAAGGGUCUCACAAGUUACAAGUUUUCAUCAAGAUCAAGGAUAUUUGAACAGCAAACACACCCUAGUUGGGUGAUAUUUGGCAUCUGUCAAGUUGAAGCUCCUGCAUAAGACUAGAAAAUUAGGUGUUACAGAAGUAAUUGAUUUCCAAGUGCAUGGUCAUGUUUAUGAAGUCUUGAGAAGACAUAUUUUCAUGGAUUUCUAUUCCAGAAGGCAGCAGUAUGUAUUUAAAUUAAAAAAAAAAAAAAAAAGUUUGAAGAAUAAAAAGAGGAAAAAGCAAAAGCAGAUUAAGUAGAGAUUGAGCGAGUGUGACAGAACAAUGUUACGCUGUUGACUACUCAACAGCAGGUUUGAUGAGAGCAGGCCUUCAUGAAUGCUGGUUUUCUGAUGGCUCAUAAAAGUAGAGGGAUAAUCUCACAUCCUGCUAUUCCAAAUAAAGGAAAAUAUUUAAACUGAAGAAGAAUCUCAACAGCCUUAAAUACUUUUGGUGAUAGAGCUGAGCACCUGCAUCCAUUGGAGGCAAAAAAUUCAGAACACAAUGUACGCCAAGCAAUGAAAAAGCCUCAAGCACAUCCGGUAUCACUGUGUUUCACAGAUUAAUGGAAAAAACUAAGCUGCAACGUGCACAGAGAAAGAAUACCAUUAUUCAGCAGAUGGUAACAAAUACUGUGGAAGAAUUUCAAGCCUGGAGCUGUAGUAGGAAGCAAAAAUGAGAUGUUUUGGUACUUGAGGGUGUUAGCUUCGAGCCACCUUUCUCCCUGUUAACAAGUGAACUAACGCAAGACCCUGUACCACAGUGAAGGUGCAACUGUACCAGCUACCACCAUCCUCAGCAGUUCGUGAAGGUGAUAUGCCUCCUCCAGAAGACUGAAGAGAAUCAUGAAAUUAUGCCUAAAGAUAAUGUAAAGUCAGAUCCAAAAUGCUUCUAAAGGAAGAAGACAUUCUUUUUGUUGGUUUAAGCAGACCUUGGAUCAAGCUUGUUACUAACAAACAUCAGAACUUGAACACAUGAGCAAAGUGCUAAUCCCAAUUCUAGAUUGCCAUCUGAUUCCUGUGGUUUUCUUAGGUAGGCAGUGAGGAACUGAAAUCUCAGUGGACGGUGGCAUUCAGGCCUUUCAGUGCAUUGUCCUGUAAAGAGACUCAUUCCUUAUUAAAGAAGAUACAAGACCUAGAAAGAUUCACAUAUGCCUAGCUCCUUGGAGAAGAUAAAAUAAGACCAAGUUAAGUGGGAAGAUUUCCUUAUCAAACUAAAUAGCAGCCAGACUCAAAUUAAGUAUUAGAAAUUGUUUUCUAGAAACGUGCUACUGUGAGCUGUUGACAGUCUGGACACACCAGCUAGCUCCCUGCUCAUGGUCAGUAAUGGCAGCAGAAAUUUUAGAAUAAUUGGCAUGAAUGAAAUGAAGAAAGUUCCCAAGUUACCAACCAAUUACCAGAGAAAAAUGGAAAAGCACAUGUGCCUUUUCUGUCUGCAUUAUUUCAGACUCAUUUAUUUUCUUGGUAUAACAUUUCUAUUUUAUUUCAUGGUAACAUGAAUUCUCCUUCCUUCCUCUCCUUAAAAUUUAUAGUUAAUCCUAAAUUAUAAUUACACUUCUUUUAAAUGCCUCUGGAAAAAUCUUAUAGAAUUGGAUGAGAAUCAAAUACAAUUAUUGUUGAAUUAAUUCUGUGGGAACAGAUAAGGUUUUAUAAUAUAUUUUACUGAUGACACAACUUGAUUUUUUUCAGUGCUAACUGUAGUUGAACACAGCUAGCUGGUCAAAAGGAGCACUGUUUCUUACCAUUUUCAUGAACUGGAAUUUAUUGCUUGUUUGCUGGAUGAAGAUUACAACAAAGCGAUAGGUCUGGAAUAUGGUCCUAUGUGCAGUAAAUUUGUACAAGGAAACCACAGAGCUAUGAAAAAGCUUUUCUGAAAACCCUGAAUUUUGUUUUUGUGUUCUCAGCCAUUUCUAGUUUUUGGGAUAUAUUUAAAAACAGUGUAUAUCUUCAUCCUUCCAUUGGAUUUAGAAAUGCUUCUGUCCCAAAUUCUAUAUAUGACAUGCAUUUCUGUCACAGUCAUAACAGGAAGCCAUUUACAUGGUUGUUCCUGCUAGGGUUGUUCAGUAUUAUUUUGGAAGUGUAAAGGAGUCAUCUGGUUAUGUGUGAUUUUGUUGAUAGUGAUGAAACAUGCCCUUUUCUGAGACAGAUUACGCCUUCUUGCUUGUACACCUGUUAAUGUCCCUUCAGUCUUACCUUGGUGUAGUUUCACUGUAUUACUCUAAUCAGGAACCUUUCAUUUUGCUCCUGGCAGUGCUAAGAAAUGCAAAUAUUCAAAUUUGAUGUGGCAGCUUAGUUACCUGCAUGUUGCUGACAUCUUAGGAUAUAGCCCAUGGGCCUGUCUGAACACAGAGGAUAAUACAGGGAAGAAACCUAGGUGUGUGGAGCGCACAUCUGGACAGUUCUGGAGGAGAUGACUCUGUUAUGCCAGACCGAAAGACCACAUACAUGAGCAUCUGUGACCAAAAGUGAAGGCUGUAAGGGUCUGUCCUUUACCAUCUUACAUGUCAGAGGGCCUUUGGAACAUCAAACUAUUUCUUACCUGAUUCAAUCUGACAAAGGUGAAACAUAGUUAUCAUCUUGGAUACAAACUGCACCACAGCAGAAGCUGAGUUUACAGUUUUCAUCUUUAUCAUCUAAACAUCAAACAUGCUCCACGUUAGCCACUCUGUGACUGUGGUAGUUGAGGGGAGGUGUCUUUGUAACCGAAAAUAGCAAACAGAUUGGUUUUGAUAUAUCACUGGAGCUGGAAUAAUUCAUUAAAGAGUGAACCUGUUGGCCUCAAGCACUUCCCAGACCUGUUAGAAGCCAUUUCAGAACAACUGAUUGAACGUGGUGUUCCAUUCUGCCAAGCAGUGAGUCCAAAUGUGGUAUGACUUUUUUUUCUUGAGAUGACUGGCCUUCACCGUUUUCUUCCUCAGGACAAGCAAAAGGUGAGUACUCUAGUUCCUUGGAAAGCUGUCUUUACACUGGGAGCAGAAUGUCAACAUUUCUCUCUCUUGCAACUUAAUCUGAACUCAAGGAAGAAUUUGGCCCAGUGGAUUUCUAAUAUUCUUUCUGAGAUGAGCGAUUUGGAGACUAUUUUUGUCACUUGUGGAAUAGCAUUUGUUCUAAGCCACAAAAGAAACAAAACCCGCUUUUCUCAUUUUGGAGGAGGGGUGGAAGCAUGGAGGUGAUAUCCAGAGGUGGUAUCACAGUUCUGCUGCUGGAUCCUGAAGUACCAGAACAAAAACCCAGGACAGACGGUAGUAAUAUCUCUCUUGAGCUGCUGGUCAGAAAGGCAAAUCCAAGUGAACUUUCAAGAUCUUAAAAUGAGCAAUGUUACCAUGGAAGAUACAACAGACACAUGUCCAUGACUGGAUAUUUGCUUGUAAGUGAUACAGAAGAUAAGAAAUCUCUACAAGAGCAGGCUGAAAUGCAGAGCUGAGUUGACUGACAAGCAAAACUGAGUGAAGAAAUCACAAACUGUUCUGCAGGAAAAGAACAAUUGAUGCUUGCAGAUAUUGACAUGAAUGUCCUCUUUGCUUGUACAUUCUGACCUAGGGACCUUAAGGACCUGUUGGUUGCACUGGCGUUUUUUUCCCAUCCUUGCAAGUUGAGACCCUGCUAAGUUAUUGAGAAGGCAUCACUUUGUGAGGAGACUGGAGAGAGAUAAAAAGGUCAAGAAGGGAAUCCUCCUCCUGGUGUUACAGUGAACUGCUGGCUCAGAAUAGAGCUCAUUUCUGUGCAACAGCAAGCAUUGACCAUUGUCUGAGGCAGUCUUCUAGAUGAGCUGAGGAACGCAGAACCCAAGAAGUGACUGGUCCAGUAAUGCAAAGGAGGAACAGAGAACAGAUCUCCUGAAACCCAGCAACUUCAUUUGCAAGUGACUGGACAGAGGAACGUGCUGUAGGCUGCUCUAAGACAACCAACCAAUCCCAUGGACAAAUCCUGCAUGUCCACGUCCCAUGGACAGGAGGGAAAAGGAGGAUGCCAGCACACAGACAUUCCACUGCCAGCACUAACCAGGCUUCCUAGGAUCAGGUACUAAAUUGGUCCAGUGCAUCCCAGCUCCUUUCACAUGCAACCCUACAGGCACCAACGCUUGUUUCCUCACGGUUUACUGUGUAAGGUAAGAGUGAGCAUCUGGUGCCUCAGUAAUCACAUCCUCCCAUGCAGCUGGAGAAGGAAAACAGCUCGCUUGUAGCACACUGGCUCUAUCACCAGCAACAAUAAAGUGUGUUCCCCAAAGCUGAGAACAUGCUGGGAGGGGAAAAAAGUGAAAAACAAACCCCAAAACAUAAGGGAGCAUACAUGGAGAGCACAGUUCUUGCUUCUGAGACUUGAAAAAAAACUUUCCUUUGGGUUUUAAGUGCUUUUCUGAAUCUAUUUAUCUAAGUAGUUAUGAUGCAGGAAUCACCCUGGUAUCUGAGAUCCCCGUUUGAAACCCUUGGUAUUUCAGAUCCACCCACAGAGAUCCCAAGGCGGCAGUCACAGCACACUGCCAAAUGACUCUUAACUCCUUUAGAUUAUUAGCUCUCAAAGACUAAACCCUUUAGAAACAUCUGGCUACGGGGCUUCUCAGAGAUCUGGGAAUUGUUCCAUGGAAAAAAACAGGUCCUGUGGUUAACAUUUUAGAAUAACAUAUUUCAUGGAAAGGCCGACUGUUUUAACUGAAUACAUUUCUAUUACCUACACAGCCCAUUACCAGUGCACUGGUUCAUCAGCUUCCAGACAGAGAAUUACUCCUGCAGUCAGCCACUUGCGUACCAGUAUUUGGCCAUGCUAUCUGUCUGUCCUCUCCGCAUGUUUCUCACAAUGACAUCUCAACGUCUUUUUGCUUAAGCUGAAACUAGGUUUGAUUUGAAAAUUGCCCCUCUUUGGUCUUUCACCUUUCAUUUGAUUUUGAGGUAAGCAAAGAUGAAACAGAAUAUUGCCGUCCAAUCUGAUAUCCAAGUUUGAUCUAAUCCAUCCCAGCCUUUCUCAUCCACCAUUUCUUUGCUCCCUGCCUACUGCAAGUCUGUAUCGGAAGUGUCCCACAAGGGUUAAAUUAUUUUUUAGGUUGCUGCUUUACACUGAAUACUCGCUCUUUCUGCUAAUGUUUCUAUACCAAGCAGAGCCUGCAUUGCUUCUAACCUUUUGAUGUAAAAAAAUAAAAAAGGAUUCCCACUAACGAUGUAGGUUUUCCUUGGACUGACUAAUUCAAUGGCAGUGCUUGGGACUAUAAUUUUGUACUGUGUUUUCCUCUUUCCCUUAAAAAGGUCAAAGGCUUUCCUUAAACAUGCACCUGCUUCCUACUGCUCUAGAGUCAGUUCAGUACUUAACAAAGUUUAGCAUGGGAAAGAAAAAGGAAUUCCCAGGUCAUUGGAGCUCUUCCCCUGAUUCUCGGCAGCAGGCCUCGCAUGAUGAACACAAAGAUGCUUAGAACAGCUUCAAAUUACACAACUGAUUUGGGAUACUCGAGCACAUGUCACGCUGUCAGACAAAACAGAGCCCCAACACUGUUAAGUCCUUCCCUAUUUUCCACGUGGCAAAAGACAGAAGCUGGGUGAACACUUGAAUGUACCCAGCUGUAAGUCACAGACGCCAUCUGACAGGAAAACCUUCUGAUGGUCACAUAGGUGCCACACUGUCUCUGAACAUCCUGUAGCAAUUACUAGGCAACGACCAGAAUCCAGCUUUACAAGCCUGUUACAACUGUGAAAACUAAGCUGUUUCCCAGUAUAUUUUAAAUAAGUAUGAGGGCAUGUGUGUGUUUAUUUGGUUUUCUGCAGUGGUGAGAAAUACAAAUGAAGGUUCUUUGUGCUACAGGUUCUGUACAUACAUACUGAUAGAUUUCUCCCAACAACAGAGGCAUCUCGUUACAUUGCAGGAGAGGCUACCACCAUUAAAAGCUGAUUUAGUGCUUGCCAUUUCCAGCUUUUAACUCUGCACUACGGUUUGACAGCAGUAGCCUUUGUGAAGAUGAAGAGAGUAUAAUCUACAUUGCAAUUUAUUCAAGCAGUUCAGUGCAAUGAUUAGUACAUUUGUGGUGGGAAAAUGACUGGAGAUUGAAGUAGUAAGAAAACUCGUUAUUCCUCUUCAAGACUAUACAAAACAUCAGUUUUAGCAGUACAACAUCUACCAUGAAAACACCUUGAUGCACUUUGUGACCUGAAGAAACUGGUUCAAUCCACUCACUGCAUUUAUUUUUCCUUUGUUUAAU